AAUUAAGCUAUGAAGAGAUGAGUAAGUAAUAAUUUUUUCUACAGAGAGCUAGAUUAGGUGAAAGCUAGUGUUAAAAGAAUUACUGAAUAUGGUCUUGGAGCAAUUUUAUCCGAGUAAUAAAUUAUAAUUUAUUUUUAAGAUAAAACGGUUAGACUCGUUAACGUCUACUAAGAUAUCUAUACUAGGCUUAUAGAUAAUUAGGGUGGUACCGCGAAUAUAACCUCGCCCCUAUG
rfam:[Clostridium] sordellii strain JGS6382 genome assembly, chromosome: 1